rnacentral:tRNA from 1 species
GCCCGUCUAGCUCAGUCGGUAGAGCGCAAGGCUCUUAACCUUGUGGUCGUGGGUUCGACCCCCACGGUGGGGG